rnacentral:rRNA from 1 species
AGUUGGUGGAGUGAUUUGUCUGGUUAAUUCCGUUAACGAACGAGACCGCAGCCUGCUAAAUAGUUACCCGAACCCUUUGUUCGGGCCGACUUCUUAGAGGGACAACUUGUCUUCAACAAGUGGAAGUUUGCGGCAAUAACAGGU